rfam:Bombyx mori DNA, contig: Bm_scaf53_contig27185, strain: p50T/Dazao, build 2, whole genome shotgun sequence.
UUAACUCAAAUUUGUAUGGAGUUGGAACGUUUGCCUACGUUUGCCGCUAGGAGCGCUGUUCCAACUGCGUACAAAUUUAAGUUA